rnacentral:rRNA from 1 species
CAGCCGCCGCGGGAAUACGUAGGGUGCGAGCGUUAAUCGGAGUUACUGGGCGUAAAGCGUGCGCAGGCGGUUGUGUAAGGCAGGUGUGAAAUCCCCGGGCUUAACCUGGGAACUGCGCUUGUGACUGCACAGCUAGAGUAUGGCAGAGGGGGGUGGAAUUCCACGUGUAGCAGUGAAAUGCGUAGAGAUGUGGAGGAACACCGAUGGCGAAGGCAGCCCCCUGGGCCAAUACUGACGCUCAUGCACGAAAGCGUGGGGAGCAAACAGGAUUAGAUACCCCAGUAGUCCCUGUCUCUUAUAC